UACGUAGGGUGCGAGCGUUGUCCGGAAUUAUUGGGCGUAAAGAGCUCGUAGGCGGUCUGUCGCGUCGGUCGUGAAAACUUGGGGCUUAACCCUGAGCUUGCGGUCGAUACGGGCAUGACUGGAGUUCGGCAGGGGAGACUGGAAUUCCUGGUGUAGCGGUGAAAUGCGCAGAUAUCAGGAGGAACACCGGUGGCGAAAGCGCUCUGCUAGGCCGCAACUGACACUGAGGGACGAAAGCUAGGGGAGCGAAUGGG
rnacentral:rRNA from 1 species